UGUUUCGGCUAGGGGGCCAUCCCGGCUUACCAACCCGAUGCAAACUGCGAAUACCGGAGAAUGUUAUCACGGGAGACACACGGCGGGUGCUAACGUCCGUCGUGAAGAGGGAAACAACCCAGACCGCCAGCUAAGGUCCCAAAGUCAUGGUUAAGUGGGAAACGAUGUGGGAAGGCCCAGACAGCCAGGAUGUUGGCUUAGAAGCAGCCAUCAUUUAAAGAAAGCGUAAUAGCUCACUGGUCGAGUCGGCCUGCGCGGAAGAUGUAACGGGGCUAAACCAUGCACCGAAGCUGCGGCAGCGACACUGUGUGUUGUUGGGUAGGGGAGCGUUCUGUAAGCCUGCGAAGGUGUCC
rnacentral:rRNA from 1 species